GUCAAGUUCGCUUCUUUUCAUCUCAAGGACCAAGCUGCUGAUUGGUAUCAACAAUACAAAGAUUCCAGAGGAGGUCGUGUGAUUACUUGGACUGACUUCUGUCGGGACUUCAAAGCGCACCACAUUCCACAAAGUGUUGUUGAGAGCAAGCGUGAGGAGUUCCGCAAUCUCAAGCAAGGCAACAUGUCUGUGUAUGAAUACAACAUCCAGUUUCAGAAACUUGCUCGCUUCGCUAAACAAGACGUUCCUGAUGAAAAGAGCAUGAUCUAUCACUUCAGAGGUGGCCUUAGAGAGGAUCUGCAGUUAGCUCUCGUUCUUGUUGAGCCUACUCAGUUUGAUCAAUUCUACAAUAUGGCACUGAAGCAAGAGGCUGCUCAGCUCAAGUGUGAGGCUUCUAAGAAGAGAGUCAGAGAC
rnacentral:rRNA from 1 species